CGUCAGAUAGUUUCAAUUGGUAAAACACUGCUUAAAUCAAAUGUGAUUAGUUAAUUAAUCACUAACAGCAAUAUUCUUAUGAUGGGCCUGGCAGAACUAUAGGUUCGAAUCCUAUUCUGGCGA
rnacentral:tRNA from 1 species